GUUCGACGUGCGAUCUAGCCCAUAGAUA
rnacentral:sRNA from 1 species